rnacentral:lncRNA from 1 species
AGCCCCCAUUACAAGCUCAAUUUGCUUUGGAAUUCCACCAGUGGUCUUUAAUAGUCUGUAGUCCAUUUGAGCCCAAGAGAAUUUUGGAGGAAAAUUAGAAUUUUAACACCAUAUCCUAGUGGGACAACGGUACCUUUUGUGGGUCCAAGAGCUAAACUGUUGCAAGCCGAAAUAUUGGGGACCAGCAUGUAACUUUCCCGAUCCAAUAGUGUCGGUAAUGAUCAGGGCUAACAGUGUUUGUACAAUAAUCUAGCC